ensembl:lncRNA
UAAAAGUUUUGGAGACAGGAGAAGAGACCUCACAUCAGAGUGGAUAAAGCCUGCUUUGAUGGAAAAGGAAGGAGGGGAUUCAUGGAAGAAGAGGAGGAAACUCUCUGUGUCCCAGGAGUCCUCCUGUUCCUCUUCUGCCUCUUCUUCUUCAUUCUGUGAGGCUGCUGGACAUCAUCCAUCACCAUGUUCUCUGACAGUGGGUCUCCGGCACCUGGGGAGCAGAAAGGCUUCAAGCCCCACACCCCUCACUUCAUCCCGUGGCUGCGCAAUAGUCUGAAGCCUCACCAGAACAGUGACCUGGGACUCAACAGACAGUUGAAACCCAGCUCAGAGACCCGCAACAACCUGACUCCGCUGGAGAGAGCCAAAGGGAUUGGUUUCUUCUCUAUCCAGGGAAAGGACCGGGCAAAGAAAGGCGAACUUAGAUGUAAUGGCGUGGGGAUGGCGAGGAUGCUGCCAGUGGUGCUGAGGGGGCACCACAUCCUGCCAGCAAGUCUGGGAAAGCAGAGGGAGGACAGUCCUGCCAGGUGGAACCAGACUAAAGAGCUGGACACAGAUCCCAACACACAGAGCAGCCCAGGGGACGGGCUGCAGGGCCUGGGCAACAGCUCCCCCUCCACCGAUCAGGACAACCACAACUUUGUCAGGAACCACAGCAGCCGCCUGGGCUUGCGUCAGUCACAGAGUGACGGGACCUCUGUCAGGAAAUAUGGCCCACUAGUGGGACCUCCUCCUACUCCUGUGCUGGCUGAGGAGUCAAACUGUAAGGAGCCUGUUGUGGUGUGCAUGGAGGACAAGAGGGGGAAGGUGUGGGACUACUCCAGCCAGACCACCUGCCGCCAGAGAGACCUCCAUUCAUCCAGCUGGCUGGGCUCAGACACUCAGGGUCUAAUAGAGAGACAGCACGGGUUCAGCUCCAGCUUCAGCUACGUCAAUAAACACAGCAGGAACUCUCAGAGCCAGAGGGACCUGACAGCACUGAGGGAGCCACCUGUGGAGGGCUUCAACGGGCCCCUGAAUGGACUCAUCUUCUCCACUGAGCUCCCUCACAGAAGCCUGGGGUGCAGCACAACUCUGAGAGGUCCCAGAAAGCCGAGACCAAGCUCAGAGUGCAUCACGAUCCAGGGUCAGAACCAGACGUGGGUGCAGCGGAGACCAAACAGUGAGGGGCAGAGACAGAGAAAGCAGGCCAGCUGCAGCAGGAAGGUAGUUCGAAACCAAAUCAAGCGGGUGGUGGACAACCUGGAGCAGGUUCUGAAAGCACUGAGGGACGUCCAGCAGGAAAUGAAAGAGGUGGUGCAGCAGAUUGACUACCUAACCUCGUCCAUUGAUCUGAAUGAGGAGGAGCAGCAGGAGGCUGGAGGAGACAGCGCCAAGCCUCCCAGCGACAGCAGCUACAGUUCAGGUUCCAGCUCCAGUGAGGCGACAGUAGGCAGCACCUAUCGGAGGCCGUCAGAGAGCUGGCCAGGCACUGUGGACUCCUGUGACACCCACAAGAGAGAUCAUCCUAACAGAAGCCAGUCUCCACCCAAUGUGCAGCUGUGCCCGAUAACCUCUGGGUUUUUGUCAGAGAGGAGUCGAACUCUGCGCAUCACUUGCCGUCUUGGGUCGUCUUCCAGACAGGGUGGGCUCCAGCCAGUCACCAAUAACGCCAUUACAUCUAAUCUUCAUAACCUCACCAGCGACAUCCACAGUCUGUCUCCACAAAGACACCUCCCUGUCCGGCCUCCCACCCCUGGUCUUUCCCCUCUCACAGUGAACCUCCAUCACCCCAGCAGCCCCACUUCUCAGCCUCACUCCCCUGUGGCUCCUUCCUCCAUCAGGAUCAGUCCUGUCUCCCCUUCCUCCCCUCUGUCACCAAAGCCACCACCUGCCCUUAGCCCUUCUGUCAAUGUAAAGACCAAAGUGGGAUCUUAUCGGACCCCACAAAGCUUUCUCCCAUCUGCUGGUCCACUCUUUCCAUCAUCCACCCUGCCUCCGUCUGCCAGCUGCCCACCCACCGACUCAGAGACUCAAACAUCCACUGACAGAGAGAGGCGAGCAUCUUCUGCAGGACAUGCAGCCACAGCUAGACUACCUACGACACAGGGCCGCAGAGGUCGCAAGCCUCCACCUUACCCCCACCACAGACUCACUGAACACACAAAGAAAGUGAAGGAGCCACGCAAAGUUCCUCCGUACCCCGAGAAAAGAAGGCUGCUCUCGACCACAGUGUGA